rnacentral:rRNA from 1 species
CAAAGGAAUUGACGGGGGCCCGCACAAGCAGCGGAGCAUGUGGUUUAAUUCGAAGCAACGCGAAGAACCUUACCAGGGCUUGACAUUUAGGUGAAGCGGCGGAAACGUCGUGGCCGAAAGGAGCCUAAACAGGUGGUGCAUGGCUGUCGUCAGCUCGUGUCGUGAGAUGUUAGGUUAAGUCCUGCAACGAGCGCAACCCUCGUCGUAUGUUGCCAGCGGUUAGGCCGGGCACCCAUACGAGACCGCCGGCGUCAAGCCGGAGGAAGGUGGGGACGACGUCAAGUCAUCAUGCCCCUUAUGUCCUGGGCUACACACGUGCUACAAUGGCCGGCACAAUGGGCUGCCAACCCGCGAGGGUGAGCGAAUCCCUAAAGCCGGUCCCAGUUCGGAUUGGAGGCUGCAACCCGCCUCCAUGAAGUCGGAGUUGCUAGUAAUCGCGGAUCAGCACGCCGCGGUGAAUGCGUUCCCGGGCCUUGUACACACCGCCCGUCACACCACCCGAGUCGAUUGCACCCGAAGUCGUCGGCCUAACCUUUUAGGAGGGAGACGCCGAAGGUGUGGUUGGUAAGGGGGGUGAAGUCGUAACAAGGUAGCCGUACCGGAAGGUGCGGCUGGAUCACCUCCUUUCUAGGGAG